rnacentral:lncRNA from 1 species
AAGGAUAUAAAGGUUCCAGAUGCGUAUGCAUCAAAUAUAUCUCGAUGUGUUAGUGUUAAAGAUCGAAGACUAUAUUCGCUAAAAUCACAUGACUAUCACAUCUUGAUGCAAGAUUUACUGCCAGUUGCUCUACGAUGUUGUAUUUCGAAGAAGGUGACGUCUUGUAUAAUUGAACUAUCUAAUAUAAUGAAAGCCAUUUGUGGCAAAGUUUUGGAUGUUCAAGAACUUCAGAAGGUACAGGAUCGAGC